rnacentral:piRNA from 1 species
UACCAGAUCGUAACCUUCCCGUUGGUC